GCCAUAGAUUAGCAACUUGCAGAAUCCAGUUGUUAUGAAAGCUAAGGGCUUCACUGUACAUGAAAUACUGCAGUCUAUACUUGUGGAUGGUUGUUUUCAGAUCUGCCUCCCAAACUGUGUAUCGUGGAACUUCUUUUGCCUAAACUCAGGCUUUGUUAUUGUGGCUUAUUUGUGCUCAAAAGUUUCAGUUUUGGAGACGUUGUGGAGGUUCUGCAGCUCUUCCAUUUGGAAUCUGUAGCGGAUCCGAGCGUCUUAAGUUUUGAUUAGUGAUUAUAAUCUGCUAGAAAUGCAAACAUCUUCAAGGUAAAAUUGAUUGAGAAUUAUGUUGGGCUCUCUAAUCGAGAGAAUGAGAUAGAAGCAGUUGUGUAUGAGCUGCGGAAGGGGGGGGGGGGGAUCUCGAACCUCAAACAGCGAAGCGUGAAAUUUAGGCACUGGCCGAGAGCAAUUUUGCCCUAGGAACGGUGGUGGAGUUUUUAUUUGCAAGGGUAAUAAGCAGAAUGCCACGAUGGAAUUUGAAGAAAACGUGGCAGGAUUUUGCUUGCAAGCAAGACCUUCUCAUUUAUCCCCACUGGAAUGGGUUUUAAGGCUCAUUCUAGCCUAACGAGAGAUGCAAAACAUGGUCGCUUGGGCUGCUUGAGAGUUGGAAACUUUGAAAAGCUCCAUCACUAUACUUUUUCUUCGAAUUGAAAAGAUCGAUAACAUCUGUUAGGGUCUUUAGGAAGAGUUAUUAGAUGAGAAGGAUGAAAAUGAAAACUUACAAAACAAGCUAGUGUUG